rnacentral:piRNA from 1 species
UGCCUAUGUCAUGUCACAUAUCUAUAAUAA